UACGAAGGGGGCUAGCGUUGUUCGGAUUUACUGGGCGUAAAGCGCACGUAGGCGGAUUGGUCAGUUAGAGGUGAAAUCCCGAAGCUCAACUUCGGAACUGCCUUUAAUACUGCCAAUCUAGAGUCCGGAAGAGGUGAGUGGAACUCCUAGUGUAGAGGUGGAAUUCGUAGAUAUUAGGAAGAACACCAGUGGCGAAGGCGGCUCACUGGUCCGGUACUGACGCUGAGGUGCGAAAGCGUGGGGAGCAAACAGG
rnacentral:rRNA from 3 species